rnacentral:tRNA from 1 species
UCUCUGGUGGUCCAAUGGUUAGAACUCUGCACUUUGACUGCUUGAGGGCCAGGGUUCAAUCCCUGGUCAGGGAA